UACAGAGGGUGCGAGCGUUAAUCGGAAUUACUGGGCGUAAAGCGUGCGUAGACGGCUAUCUAAGUCGGGUGUGAAAGCCCCGGGCUCAACCUGGGAAUUGCAUUCGAGACUGAAUAGCUAGGGUACGGUAGAGGGAAGCGGAAUUUCCGGUGUAGCGGUGAAAUGCGUAGAUAUCGUAAGGAAGACCAGUGGCGAAGGCGAAUCUCUGGACAGUUACUGACACUGAGGCACGAAGGCCAGGGGAGCAAACGGG
rnacentral:rRNA from 1 species